UACGGAGGGUGCAAGCGUUAAUCGGAAUUACUGGGCGUAAAGCGCACGCAGGUGGCUGAGUCAGUCGAUUGUGAAAGCCCUGGGCUUAACCUGGGAAUUGCAGUCGAUACUACUCAGCUAGAGUAUGGGAGAGGGUAGUGGAAUUCCCGGUGUAGCGGUGAAAUGCGUAGAGAUCCGGAGGAACACCAGUGGCGAAGGCGACACGCUGGGCCGUACCUGACACUGAUGCGCGACAGCAUGGGGAGCAAACAGG
rnacentral:rRNA from 1 species